rnacentral:lncRNA from 1 species
UCUGCUAAAUCUACAAUGUGAGGGGGGCGACUUUUGUUCAGAGACUCGGUGGAAAAGACGACUGUAACUUAUUCGAAUCCGGAUCCAAAUUUGCAGCUUCAACACACGCGGCUCAACCCGCAACCUGGUAUAGAGCUCCGUCAGAUCUGCUUCCAUCGGAGUUUUUUCCCGCUCAAAUCUGGUCCUAAGGCUUCCUCAGGUAACCAUAACGCUCUUUCUUGCUUGGUUUAACACAUUUUAUGAAGAACAAGACCCUUUGGACGUGGACUUGGAACUUUGUUGCUGCUGGGUUUGUUUCAUGUUUCUACCAUGCUUGACUUCAGAUUAUUUUCGUGAUUAUGGCCUGUUCCUGUUUAUGUUUAGCAUUGGGUUGUGAAAUAAAGUACAUAAAUUAUAAGAGCUAGCUUGUUUGGGAACUUGUUUCGUGCGUUUGGUGAAAAUGAAACCCAGAAAUGGUGAAAAGAAAGUUGCAGAAGGAAAAUGUUGAAGAAUAAAGUUUCUUCGUACAGACUACAUGUUCUUUUUCUCAAAUUGCAUUUUGACCCCCAAAGUUUAAUUAAUUUCACUAUGGCUCAAAUACUUUUCACAGUUGAACCAAUUUUGCCCUUUUAAAAUUUUAAUCUUCUUCUGAUUGUGAUAUGUGACUUGUUGUGUAGAUUAAUCUUGGGAUUUAAUGCAUGAUUAAGGUCCAGCAUUUUUUUUUUGAUUUAUUACUUUCUUGGAUUAGUAAAAUAGAUUAAGACUUGGGUUAAUACUUUCUUAGGGUUUCUUGGGGCAGAUUAAUGUUGAGAAUGUGGUUGGGUUUAGUAAAUGGGUUUGGUUUAAUUUACUUGGGUUUUUCUCUUGGGCUUAGGAGGCAAUAGCCUACACUUUCUAAUUGGGUUUGUUUGGUGUAAGAUUAUGGUCCGAUCCGUACAUUUUUCUUGUUUUUUGAUCGGGCUUAGGGAGCCUUGGCCCAAAGAAAGAAAAAAUGGCCCACUGAUGUUCUUAAGAAAUCAGAAAAUGAAUUUGCAAAUGGGUCCCUAUACUUUUGAGUAUUUUCACUACAUCCUUAAAAACUUUUAAUUUAUUUCAAUUAGGUCCCUUAUUGAAAUUCAAAUAGGUCCCUAAAUUUUAUUUUUAUUCAAUUUAGACCCCUAUUCUUUAUGAUAAUUACUAAUUGACCUCUAAAACUUUCUUAUUUUUGCAAUUAAAUCCCUGACAGAAUUGUUGUCUUAAAUAGAAGUAGCUUUUCCUUCUUAAUUAUGAAUUACGCUCCAUUUGAACGCUUCAAUUGAUUGAUUUCGUGCUUAUUUCCAUUUUUAUGAAUUAUGUGUUAAUUAAAUUGGUGCCUUGAUGAUUUUUGUUAAUUUUGGAGUUAAAUAGGGCAAAUCCACACCCCAAUUAGUUACUACGUCAAGGGAGGUAUAUUCUCGUGUUAUUUUAAAUCUUCCUACGUGCUCCUAUGUGAUUUUUUGUGUGUAAUUGCAUGCCUCUUGAAUGUUUUUUAUUAUUUAUUUAUUUAUUUCAUUUAUUUAUUUAUUCGCUUUAUUGGCUUUAGUUUUGUGUAUUUAUUUCAAUCAUUUAAAAGGCACUUGAAUGCCAAAGUUGUAAUAGUUAGGAAUUUAUUUAUUUAUUUAUUUUUAUUUAUUCCUCUCCCCCCUUAGAUUGUAGUAGGCAUCCCCAAAUGUAAUACAUAGGACUUGUGUGCUAUGUGAUUGUAUAUGCCUAUAUGCCUAUGUGUUCAAUUGCUUUCCCUAGGCUUCUGCAUCUAGAUAAGCAUGCUUAUGUGCUACGUGCUAUGUGAAACUACAUGCUUUGCAUGUCUAUUUACUUUAGUAUUAUAUCUGAUUAUGUGGAUGGAAUGCACGUUACCGUGGCUAGUCCAAUGCUAGUCAUGGUCUUCCCCUCGAGCUCUCACAAGUCCAAUGCUUGCGAGAGAGAGUUAGUAAAGGGCUAGUCCAACGCUAGACCCUUAGAAAUCAUUCUACGCGUUAGAUCAUGAUUGUGUGAUAAAAUCACUUCAUCUCAUGCAUAUCUUUACUUUCUAGGGCCUCUUUUACCAUGUUGCAUGACACUUUCCUUAUAUAUGUAUAUCCCUUCCUCCAUAUUUUCCCUUAUAUGUAUAUUACUUGUCCCUUUGUAUAAAACAUGAUAUUAGACUUGCAUUAGAAUUAGAUUAGAUCAUUUGCUUGGUUAGAUAGGAAAACCCCUUGGAUAUGGGAUAUGGACGAGUUUAGUUUUCUACCCUUAGCACGCUCAUAUUCUCUCUAUUAAAGGAAAAAUUGAGUCACAAACAUUAGUCCCCCGUAC